CAGUAGCCGCGGGAAUACGUAGGGUGCAAGCGUUAAUCAGAAUUACUGGGCGUAAAGCGUGCGCAGGCGGUUUGUUAAGACGGAUGUGAAAUCCCCGGGCUCAACCUGGGACCUGCAUUUGUGACUGUAUAGCUAGAGUACGGUAGAGGGGGAUGGAAUUCCGCGUGUAGCAGUGAAAUGCGUAGAUAUGCGGAGGAACACCGAUAGCGAAGGCAAUCCCCUGGACCUGUACUGACGCUCAUGCACGAAAGCGUGGGGAGCAAACAGGAUUAGAUACCCCGGUAGUCCCUGUCUCUUAUAC
rnacentral:rRNA from 1 species